rnacentral:tRNA from 1 species
UAGUAAAAUAAGCUAAUAAAGCUAGUGGGUUCAUACCCCAAAUAUGAGUGUAAACUCUUUUACUAG